CUUCAUCAUUCGGUCAAGUUAUUCUCUAAUUCUCUAAUUCUCUAAUUCUCUAAUUCUCUCUCUCUCCCCUACAGUCCAUCACGGCUUAAUCUUAUUUCAUUAAUUUAGUUAAAGGAUCAAUGAAUUACAAAUAAUGAAAUCUUCCCUUUACAAGGUGAUGGUGUGUAUAGAGUUAUAGGCUUAGGAUAAUAUCUCAUAAAGAAACUUCGUCACAUACUUAAGAUUUAGUUGGGUUUGAUAAUCUAAAGUUGAGUCUCUUGUCACUUGCCAUGAUAUUCAUAAUAUGCUUUAAGACACAUUUCCACUUUCGAUUUACGCAAUCAGACACAUGUUGCCGGUGACACACUUUUGUGUAAUGAUUGUAACUUAGACUCCCAACUUUGUUUCUCCCCAACAUCCAUUCUUUCGUAACUAAACCUUUCCUAACUAAAACAACAAUCUGUCCAAUUGGACACACAUCUCAAUUAAAAAUAGUAAAAUACAAUUCAUUCUUUAUCUCUCAUAUUUCGAAUUUUGAGACAAAAAAUUGAAAUCACUUUCAUAGUUUCUCGAACCCUAAUUGCGACGACCUCUACCCGCGAACCUCUUUCAGCUUCGAGAAACCAUGGCGAAAUUGAAGUCGAAGAAGAAAGGGAAGCUCAAUAGUUAACCUUCUUCACCGCAGAUCGACAUCGGAGGUUUGUAUUUCGAAUUCCUUAACUCUUUUUGAAUUUCAAGAGUUCUCGAAAUCCCUGACUUUUUUCUAUUUUUCUUUCUUUUUUUAAAAAAUUAUUUAUGUUGUAAUUUUCCAAUUGAAUCGAAUCUUUGAGAUUUUUUGGACGGGAGAUAUGACGAGCAGAUCCGAGAGCUCUGGUGUGGAGAGAACGACGCGGCUGCGAGCAGGUCCGAGCUCCGUUGUGGAGAGGACGAUGGGACGGCGAGCAGGUCCGAGAUCCGGUGUGGAGAGGACGCGACGACGAGCAGGUCCGACCUCCGUUGUGGAAAAGACGACGACGAGCUCUCGUGGUGUGAAGAAUCUGAGAUUAAAAAGUUGAACACUUCUUCUACGUAUUAGAGAUCUAAGAAGCAAAAGGUUAGAAACUUUACAUACGGGUUUAUAGAUUUAAGCUUAGAUCUAUCUCCUUUUCCUCGGCGGAAGAAAUAAAAGGUUGCAAACGGAAGGUAAAGUUCUUGGCUUUAAUUAAAACACUUCUUUGUUUACCUCUUUUGGUCUCCUACAGCAAGAGUUCUAAAUCAAUACUUUGAGUACAUAACUAGAUGGAUUUUUGGGCCAAACUUGACAUGACCACAGCAAGAAUCCAAGGAUGAUGCAGCAUGAUAUUUUGACUAUUGACCACAUCAAGAGUCUAUGAUGUAGUCCACAACAACAAUGUCCUAAACAUCAAUCUUGCUCCCACCCAUCAAGAGUCCACGGAUGAUGCAGCUCAACACCUUUCCAGACUCCAAAGCGUGGUCUAUUUACUUUCAUUAUAGAUCUAACUUGGUGAAAUUAUGGAUGUUAACGUUUUAGUGUCAAUGUUCAGCUUUGAUGUCCAUGUACACGCAUGGUUUAUAACUCUAUUACCUACAUUGUAAUGUCCAUAUCCAUGUUUUGUUUUUUGUCUUA